rnacentral:rRNA from 1 species
GUGGGGAAUAUUGGACAAUGGGGGGAACCCUGAUCCAGCCAUGCCGCGUGUGUGAAGAAGGCCUUUUGGUUGUAAAGCACUUUAAGCGAGGAGGAGGCUACCGAGAUUAAUACUCUUGGAUAGUGGACGUUACUCGCAGAAUAAGCACCGGCUAACUCUGUGCCAGCAGCCGCGGUAAUACAGAGGGUGCAAGCGUUAAUCGGAUUUACUGGGCGUAAAGCGCGCGUAGGUGGCCAAUUAUGUCAAAUGUGAAAUCCCCGAGCUUAACUUGGGAAUUGCAUUGGAUACUGGUUGGCUAGAGUAUGGGAGAGGAUGGUAGAAUUCCAGGUGUAGCGGUGAAAUGCGUAGAGAUCUGGAGGAAUACCGAUGGCGAAGGCAUCCUCCUGGGAUGACACUGACGCUCAUGCACGAAAGCGUGGGGAGCAAACAGGAUUAGAUACCCUUGUAGUCC